rnacentral:lncRNA from 1 species
GCUGGGCACAACCCAUGAGUACAUUGGUCCCCAAGUACCUACAAGGGCGGUCUUUGGGAAGACAGAGAAUAAAUGGAGAGGAUGAGGUGGGAGGGAGCAAAUCCGCCUCAGCUCAGCACCUAGGGGACCUGAGGCAGCAGUGAUAUCUCAGAACUAACGGAGCCACAGGAUAGCAAGGUCUGGUGGCAUUUGGGUCACAUUCAUAGAAAGUACAUCUUCCAUUCUUCUAAGCUUAGCAACUAUUUCUGAGAGUCUAGGUGGCCUCUCUGGUGGCAUUGCUCACACUUUCAUCCCUGAGUAGGCUGGGCUCAAGAAUCAUUUUUCUUCUCUUUUGUUCUCUGGCAUCUUAAUCUGUUUUCUACAGCUAAAACAAAAUACCCAAGACUGGAUACCUCACAAUGAAAAGAUGUUUGCUUAGUUUAUACCUUUGGAGGGUACAAGGUCAGGAUCGAGUGGCCUCCUCUCUUUGGCACCUCAGAGCCUGGCAGAGAGGGACAUGGCAAAGGUGAGAGGACAUGCAACAGCGCUGGCAUGGGUCCACGGGAGGGCUCAUGGGGAGAAGUGCUCAUAACAACUUGAUUUUGUGGUAACCGCCUGGGAGAAUGACAGAUUCCCUUCUGUAGGCAGUAGUGCCAGUGAUCUAACACCUCCAUCUACUAGGUCUGAUCUCUUACAAGUUCUACUGUACCUCAUCAUUGCCACGCUGAGGCCCAAGCUUUUGACAUAUAAGUCUUUGGAGGCCACACUCGAACUAUGACCAAACCGAAGCAGCCGAACCUUAAGAAUCUUGAGAAUCUGUACCAUGCCGGGUAUGAUGGUACACGCCUCUCAUCCAAACAGAAAGCAGGGGCAGGACAAUCUCUGAGUUCUGAGUCAGCCUGCUCUACAGAGUGAGCUCCAGGACAGCCAAGGCUACACAGAGAAACCCUGUUUCAAAACAAUAAAAAUCAAACAAAACCAAAAAAAUCUGUACUUUGACUCUCCCCUGGGGCAUGCCUGAGACGUUUUGAGACUCCUGUUCUACGUCUGAUACCACUGAAUCUACUAGAGUGUGGUCCAUCCAAGCAGAGGAGAAGCUUGUCUUCCAGUCUGAAGCCACUACUUACCAUUUUCUCACUUUCGAAUUUCUCUCUCAGUUGUGGAUUUUGGAUCUGAGAACUUACUUGGGUCUCAAUAUUAGGAAAGGGAAUUUGUAUUUUAUUAGGAAAGCAGCUGUUGCUAUAGCUGUUGUUCUUGCUGUUGCUGUUGAGAUAGUCUUGAUGUACAAUCCAGAGGCAAUGACACAGAGGCUAACAGCUAUCCGGCCAUGUAGUGGGCAGUACAGGAGAAGCCUGCAGCCUACGAACAGUGGGCACACAGAUGAGAAGGAAUUAAGCUCCAAGAAGGACAGCAGAGGGAUCUAGUGGACACAGCAGUUCCUGGAGGAACACAUGGAAAAUGGGAGGAGUACACCAAACCUUCGGAUCUCUGCCAGGUUGGGAAUUUUCUGUAACCACUUACAGAAGAGAAGAAAGCUUUCAGAUUAGCAACUUCUGUCUUUCAGAAGGCAAACAGAGGUGAGAGUCUCAAUAAAUCAAACAUGAAGGUGUUGCCCCCAAGUGGCACAAAAGAGAUUAGAUUCCAACUAUCCGUUUCUAUUAAUGGCUCUUGAAAGCUUAUGGAAGUAGUGCUUAAAAAAAAAAAAAAUGACAUCCGUGAAUUGCUGAGUUUGCAGUUUGGGGAAGUCAUCUUUCUGGUUAUUUUUGUAAGUUCGUGGUUGUUCCUAUCCCGAAUCAGUAUGGCCCCACCUCUGCUACCAGAGUCCUGUUUUCAGCCCCUCCCCUCUAUCCCUAGGCACCAUCUUGGGGGUUUUCAUCUCGAGUCUGAUCCAGAGCAACUUGGGCAGCCUUGUUCUUACUGGUCCUGUGUCCCCUGCAUGUCUUCUCACAGGGUGUGCCUCUCUAGGCAAUGUCCUUAGACCUUCUUAUUAUACUCUUUGGAAGUCAGAGUGCUAGUCUUAGUUCAUUUGGGUGAUGAUAACUCUUGGCUUUGAAAUGGGAACACACCCAAGGCAAAGAUGGUUCUCGCUGAUAUCUCACUGCAGUAUGAGGCUUCACAACCGGCAAUUGCAUAGACUGAGGACAUGGAAGCUCCAAGAUACUACAGAUCUCCGGAUGACCCUUCUGAAUGAGAUAGGAAAUGGCUUCUUUAGUUGAGCGGAACAGCCACAGAAUUUGGAGACGUCCAGUUCCCAGGGAAGAUGGGAGAAUGUGACUGACUCUGGGCUGUGGACUGAAGGGCUGGCCUUUUGUCUGAGGAAGGAAACCUCUUGAUUUGUAACAGAGAAGAAGGUGAUGGCUGCACCACAGGAGAUUUGUGACAAUAGGAGGACAAGGUAACCUUUAGAAUGUACAGCUAAACUUCUAUCCUGCUAACAAUGACCAUUACAGAUGGCAGCCUAGGC